rnacentral:pre_miRNA from 1 species
GUUGUAGCACGUGUAAACAUCCUACACUCUCAGCUGUGAACUGAGGUGGCUGGGAGAGGAUUGUUUACUCCUUCUGCCAU